rnacentral:rRNA from 1 species
GCUGCAACCCGCCUGCAUGAAGUCGGAAUUGCUAGUAAUCGCGGAUCAGCAUGCCGCGGUGAAUACGUUCCCGGGCCUUGUACACACCGCCCGUCACACCAUGGGAGCCGGUAAUACCCGAAGUCAGUAGUCCAACCUCGUGAGGACGCUGCCGAAGGUAGGAUUGGCGACUGGGGUGAAGUCGUAACAAGGUACC